rnacentral:rRNA from 1 species
CAGGCCUAACACAUGCAAGUCGAGCGGUAGAGAGGUGCUUGCACCUCUUGAGAGCGGCGGACGGGUGAGUAAUACCUAGGAAUCUGCCUGGUAGUGGGGGAUAACGUUCGGAAACGGACGCUAAUACCGCAUACGUCCUACGGGAGAAAGCAGGGGACCUUCGGGCCUUGCGCUAUCAGAUGAGCCUAGGUCGGAUUAGCUAGUUGGUGAGGUAAUGGCUCACCAAGGCUACGAUCCGUAACUGGUCUGAGAGGAUGAUCAGUCACACUGGAACUGAGACACGGUCCAGACUCCUACGGGAGGCAGCAGUGGGGAAUAUUGGACAAUGGGCGAAAGCCUGAUCCAGCCAUGCCGCGUGUGUGAAGAAGGUCUUCGGAUUGUAAAGCACUUUAAGUUGGGAGGAAGGGCAUUAACCUAAUACGUUAGUGUUUUGACGUUACCGACAGAAUAAGCACCGGCUAACUCUGUGCCAGCAGCCGCGGUAAUACAGAGGGUGCAAGCGUUAAUCGGAAUUACUGGGCGUAAAGCGCGCGUAGGUGGUUUGUUAAGUUGAAUGUGAAAUCCCCGGGCUCAACCUGGGAACUGCAUCCAAAACUGGCAAGCUAGAGUAUGGUAGAGGGUAGUGGAAUUUCCUGUGUAGCGGUGAAAUGCGUAGAUAUAGGAAGGAACACCAGUGGCGAAGGCGACUACCUGGACUGAUACUAACACUGAGGUGCGAAAGCGUGGGGAGUAAACAGGAUUAGAUACCCUGGUAGUCCACGCCGUAAACGAUGUCAACUAGCCGUUGGGAACCUUGAGUUCUUAGUGGCGCAGCUAACGCAUUAAGUUGACCGCCUGGGGAGUACGGCCGCAAGGUUAAAACUCAAAUGAAUUGACGGGGGCCCGCACAAGCGGUGGAGCAUGUGGUUUAAUUCGAAGCAACGCGAAGAACCUUACCAGGCCUUGACAUCCAAUGAACUUUCCAGAGAUGGAUUGGUGCCUUCGGGAACAUUGAGACAGGUGCUGCAUGGCUGUCGUCAGCUCGUGUCGUGAGAUGUUGGGUUAAGUCCCGUAACGAGCGCAACCCUUGUCCUUAGUUACCAGCACGUAAUGGUGGGCACUCUAAGGAGACUGCCGGUGACAAACCGGAGGAAGGUGGGGAUGACGUCAAGUCAUCAUGGCCCUUACGGCCUGGGCUACACACGUGCUACAAUGGUCGGUACAAAGGGUUGCCAAGCCGCGAGGUGGAGCUAAUCCCAUAAAACCGAUCGUAGUCCGGAUCGCAGUCUGCAACUCGACUGCGUGAAGUCGGAAUCGCUAGUAAUCGUGAAUCAGAAUGUCACGGUGAAUACGUUCCCGGGCCUUGUACACACCGCCCGU